GACGAACGCUGGCGGCGUGCUUAACACAUGCAAGUCGAGCGGUAAGGCCUUUCGGGGUACACGAGCGGCGAACGGGUGCGUAACACGUGGGUGAUCUGCCCUGCACUCUGGGAUAAGCCUGGGAAACUUGGUCUAAGACCGGAUCUGCCUACAUCCUGCACGGCGUGAGGUGGAAAGAUUUAUCGGUGCAGGAUGGGCCCGCGGCCUAUCAGCUUGGUGGUGGGGUAAUGUCCUACCAAUGCGACGACGGGUAGCCGACCUGAGAGGGUGACCGGCCACACUGGGACUGAGACACGGCCCGGACUCCUACGGGAGGCAGCAGUGGGGAAUAUUGCACAAUGGGCGGAAGCCUGAUGCAGCGACGCCGCGUGAGGGAUGAAGGCCUUCGGGUUGUAAACCUCUUUCAGCAGGGACGAAGCGUGAGUGACGGUACCUGCAGAAGAAGCACCGGCUAACUACGUGCCAGCCGCCGCAGUAA
rnacentral:rRNA from 1 species